UGGUGGCUGGUUACCCCGAAAGGUUGACGCUUAUUGGUGAGGAUCUUGAGUCCACAUCGACAUCGGCAGCAAGUAUGAUAUCUGGCUUGGAAAGUAAAACGGCCGUUUAUUAUGAAUGGGUGUUGAAAAGAGGGACUUUUCGUUGGCUUCAGGGAUUAAAGUAUUUGAUGUGUAGCUGCCACCGAUUCAACAGUGCAAGUGGCGAAGAGAUAUCGAUGUGGAAAGGGGCAUGUCUCUACAUCUCGUAAAUAGAGAUUUUCCGUGCACAGGGUGACGGCCGAAUAACACCAGCAGAGUUGACCACAAGAAAACAAAGAGGAACCUUGAUAUUCCUUAUAAAAAUAAGUGGAAUGUCAAAAAACGUGCACAAAGGAUUUGGAGCAAAAACUGUCAAUGGCCUCAAGGGAGAGGAAGUAAAUUUCGACCUAGGCAGCAAGGAAAUCCUCUAUGGAAAUAGUUAUUGCGAUUGGAUAUUCGGAUACAUCGUGUAAACGGCCACCACUACAUAUAUGAUGGUAGCUACUACCA
rnacentral:sRNA from 1 species